rnacentral:rRNA from 1 species
GACGAAGGGGGCUAGCGUUGUUCGGAAUUACUGGGCGUAAAGCGCGUGUAGGCGGUUGUUCAAGUCAGGUGUGAAAGCCUUGAGCUCAACUCAAGAAAUGCACUUGAUACUGGAUGACUAGAGGACCGGAGAGGAUAGUGGAAUUCCCAGUGUAGUGGUGAAAUACGUAGAGAUUGGGAAGAACACCAGUGGCGAAGGCGGCUAUCUGGACGGUUUCUGACGCUAAGACGCGAAAGCUAGGGGAGCAAACAGG